UGGGGAAUAUUGCGCAAUGGGGGGAACCCUGACGCAGCCAUGCCGCGUGAAUGAAGAAGGCCUUCGGGUUGUAAAGUUCUUUCGGUAUUGAGGAAGGUUGAUGUGUUAAUAGCACAUCAAAUUGACGUUAAAUACAGAAGAAGCACCGGCUAACUCCGUGCCAGCAGCCGCGGUAAUACGGAGGGUGCGAGCGUUAAUCGGAAUAACUGGGCGUAAAGGGCACGCAGGCGGUUAUUUAAGUGAGGUGUGAAAGCCCCGGGCUUAACCUGGGAAUUGCAUUUCAGACUGGGUAACUAGAGUACUUUAGGGAGGGGUAGAAUUCCACGUGUAGCGGUGAAAUGCGUAGAGAUGUGGAAGAAUACCGAAGGCGAAGGCAGCCCCUUGGGAAUGUACUGACGCUCAUGUGCGAAAGCGUGGGGAGCAAACAGGAUUAGAUACCCUGGUAGUCCACGCUGUAAACGCUGUCGAUUUGGGGGUUGGGGUUUAACUCUGGCGCCCGUAGCUAACGUGAUAAAUCGACCGCCUGGGGAGUACGGCCGCAAGGUUA
rnacentral:rRNA from 1 species